rnacentral:rRNA from 1 species
GAUGAACGCUAGCGGCAGGCCUAAUACAUGCAAGGCGAAGGGGCAGCAAUGUCACUGUCGUACGGGUGCGUAACGCGUAUGCAACCUACCUAUCACAGGGGAAUAGCCUUUGGAAACAGGGAUUAAUACCGCAUAAAGCAGGGACACCGCAUGGUGAUAUUGCUAAAGAUUUAUCGGUGAUAGAUGGGCAUGCGUCUGAUUAGUUAGUUGGCAGGGUAACGGCCUACCAAGACGAUGAUCAGUAGGGGGCGUCAGAGCGUGGUCCCCCACACUGGCACUGAGAUACGGGCCAGACUCCUACGGGAGGCAGCAGUAGGGAAUAUUGGGCAAUGGAUGCAAGUCUGACCAGCCAUGCCGCGUGCAGGAAGAAGGUCCUCUGGAUUGUAAACUGCUUUUAUCGGGGAAGAAUAAGUUUUCUUGUCGAGGGAAUGUGACGGUACCCGAUGAAUAAGCCACGGCUAA